GAUGAACGCUGGCGGCGUGCCUAACACAUGCAAGUCGAGCGGCAGCGAGGGGUGCUUGCACCCUGUCGGCGAGCGGCGGACGGCUGAGUAACGCGUGGGAACGUGCCCCAAAGUGAGGAAUAACUGCCCGAAAGGGUAGCUAAUACCGCAUAUUAUCUUCGGAUCAAAGGAUUUAUCCGCUUUGGGAGCGGCUCGCGUCGGAUUAGGUAGUUGGUGAGGUAAUGGCUCACCAAGCCGACGAUCCGUAGCUGGUCUGAGAGGAUGACCAGCCAGACUGGAACUGAGACACGGUCCAGACUCCUACGGGAGGCGGCAGUGAGGAAUCUUCCACAAUGGGCGAAAGCCUGAUGGAGCAACGCCGCGUGCAGGACGAAGGCCUUCGGGUUGUAAACUGCUUUUAUAAGUGAGGAAUAUGACGGUAACUUAUGAAUAAGGAUCGGCUAACUACGUG
rnacentral:rRNA from 1 species